UCAGGAGCAGAAUCGAAAACAAAUCGACUAUAUAUAUAUCACGAUUUAUCUUAUCAAAUUUAUUAAUUCUCAGUAGUCAGCUAAUUUAAGUAUACUUACUCUCUCUGUAAUUAAUAAAUCAACAAAAAACUUAAAAUGUCGAAAAUCAUUUUAUUGUUAUCUAUUUUUGUAUUAAUUGGCAUUUUUGCCAGUGCAGCUGGCCAGUGUGAUGGCAAUUGGUGUCAUCCGCAGCAAGGAUACAAGUGCGGCUGCCCAGGUUAUGAAUGUAGCUCAUAUAUGGUGCAAGGUACAUGUAUGAAUACACAGGACAGAGUAACCGGAUUUGGAGGGAGACCACUGGGAUAACAGAGGCUCCAAUUAUUCCCUAAUAUUCGAAUCUAUUUAUAUAUAUUGUAACGAAUGUGAAACUGAUCAUUACAUCAAACAUCUUGUAUACAAUAAACUAUAUCUCUCUUGUCUUUCUUUUACUGCUGUCAAAUGUGGUGUUUUUAUUUCUAUUUUAAGUGUGUUAUUAAUGUGGUAUAAGUGAUAUUAAUUAAUAAGUUACCAGUUACUGCAAUUUAUAUAUAUAUAUAAAUUUUUUUUUUUCUAGUUUUUUAGUGAUUUACCAAGCUUCACAGUAAUCCUUGCCAUGAUAUGUGGUAAUCAUUACCAUGCUGUCCAAUAGUCAUUAUCAUGAUGUCUGAUAGGUACUACCAUGACUUGCUGUAAUGAUUACCAUGCUACGUAGUAAUCCUUGUCAUGAUAUGUGGUUAUCAUUACCAUGCUGUCCAAUAGUCAUUAUCAUGCUCUCUGAUAGGAAUCAUUCCCAUGA